GCAGCGAGCACUGGCAGGUCUUCCACACAACUAAGUGGAGGCACACCACGAGGCAGUUUUCGCGGUUAUAAGUCAACGAAGUGUUCUGGAAGUUGCAAGCUAUACACACAUCAAAGUAGCAACGCCUUCUUUUGGGACUCAUCUCAUAGGUAUUUGGAGAGGUUUCCGUGACCAUCGGAUGCACAGCAACGAAGUUCUCCGUAUCCGGGUAGAGGUGGUACAAUAUUUCAUUGGACCACUGGUGUGGUUCCUUUAUCAUGAGCUUAGUAACCAAAAAAAAAAUGUAAACAAAAUGUGAGCAAACUGUGACGUAUCUUAAGGACUUACUUUCAUUCCAAAUGGAGUAAGCGCGUCUAUGUUGUUCAUAAAGAAGUAGCUCGCA